CAGCCGCCGCGGUAAUACGAAGGGUGCAAGCGUUACUCGGAAUUACUGGGCGUAAAGCGUGCGUAGGUGGUGGUUUAAGUCCGUUGUGAAAGCCCUGGGCUCAACCUGGGAAUUGCAGUGGAUACUGGGCCACUAGAGUGUGGUAGAGGAUAGUGGAAUUUCCGGUGUAGCAGUGAAAUGCGUAGAGAUCGGAAGGAACAUCUGUGGCGAAGGCGACUAUCUGGGCCAACACUGACACUGAGGCACGAAAGCGUGGGGAGCAAACAGGAUUAGAUACCCGCGUAGUCCCUGUCUCUUAUAC
rnacentral:rRNA from 1 species